rnacentral:rRNA from 1 species
UACGUAGGGUGCAAGCGUUGUCCGGAAUUAUUGGGCGUAAAGAGCUCGUAGGCGGUCCGUCGCGUCGGCUGUGAAAACUCGGGGCUCAACCCCGAGCCUGCAGUCGAUACGGGCAGACUAGAGGUAUGCAGGGGAGAACGGAAUUCCUGGUGUAGCGGUGAAAUGCGCAGAUAUCAGGAGGAACACCGGUGGCGAAGGCGGUUCUCUGGGCAUUACCUGACGCUGAGGAGCGAAAGUGUGGGGAGCGAACAGG